rnacentral:rRNA from 1 species
UUGCGGUUAAAAAGCUCGUAGUUGGAUCUCGGCAAGUAGAGGGCGGUAUGCUUCGUAGCAUUACUGCCCUAUUACUUGUAGUUUUGCCAGAGGUUCCUGGGUGCUCUUAAUCGAGUGUCUAGGGAUGCUGGCAGGUUUACUUUGAAAAAAUUAGAGUGCUCAAAGCAGGCUAUUACGCUUGAAUAUUCGUGCAUGGAAUAAUAGAAUAGGAAGUUGUUUCUAUUUUGUUGGUUUUCGGAAAUCGACUUAAUGAUUAAUAGGGACAGUCGGGGGCAUUUGUAUUCAAACGACAGAGGUGAAAUUCUUGGACCGUUUGAAGACAAACUACUGCGAAAGCAUUUGCCAAGAAUGUUUUCAUUAAUCAAGAACGAAAGUUAGAGGUUCGAAGGCGAUUAGAUACCGCCCUAGUUCUAACCAUAAACGAUGCCAGCUAGCGAUCUGAGGACGUUUUUUUUGUAGACUCCUCAGGAAGCUUCCGGGAAACCAAAGCGUGUGGGUUCCGGGGGAAGUAUGGUUGCAAAGCUGAAACUUAAAGGAAUUGACGGAAGGGCACCACCAGGAGUGGAGCCUGCGGCUUAAAUUGACUCACCACGGGAAAUCUCCCCAGGCCCGGACACUG